UUAUUUACUACCAAAGUUGAAGAAAAGGGAGAUCCCAGGUUAUAGACUCCUGGGCUUUCAGACACAGAGACCAGCAGGACUCCAGCCACAAACCUGACUCCUCCCUCGCUCACCUCUACCCCACUCUCUAGGAUUUCAUUUUAUCCAACUCUGCUCAUUGCUACAAGGCAAACCCAAGAAUCACAGCCUCCAGACUUUGCACAGCCUCAGCCUGGUCACUGGCCCUGCCUCCAUUUCAGCGCUUACAGCCUCAGAGUUGGCCCAAGGAUGUCGAUGAACUAUGAAGACCUCCAGUCCUUGGAGAGUGAGAAGAAAAGCCAGGGUUCUAGAAAGGGGCUGCCUCCUCCCCCAGCCUUCCUGCAGCAUCUCUGCUCUGGCCCCUGGCCCCUUCUGCUCUCUCUGGGCCUCAUCCUUCUCCUCAUGAUUGGCAUUCUAG